CCAUAAGACAUGAAGAAAGAACCAAAGAGUUCUCAAAGUUUGGUACCCUCGGCUGAUAAAAACCAUAAGACAUGAAUAACUGACCUUGCGGCUUAAUGAUUCCUAAGACAAAGACAUAAAAGAACCAAAGAGCUCUGAUUGGUACCAUUGGCUCGGAAAAACCAUAAGACAAAGGAGUCAAAAGACAUUGGAAGGGUAGUGCAUGCAUGUAAGGAAAUGAGUUGCGAUAUGUUGGAUUGAGCGGACUAAAGAAAUCUUAAGACAAGAUUGUGACUUGUUCGAUGGUAAAAAUGACCAGAAAUUGGACCAACGUAUGUGCUUCUCAAGUUACGGUGUUCAGAUUGUCAAGACUUUUGAUAGGUAUAUAUUCUUUCAAACCUUUUUAUUUUUGUUUAACUGCUUUCCAAACUUGUUUGUAAUUAGUAUAUGAAAAUCACAAGUGAAAGACACAUACAACAUCCUGAACUCCAAAGUGGUAGUUUCUGGUGCUUUUAUCAACCAACCCUUAAUGAUGACGCAGUUGGGAACAGAUUCCAAUUCGAGAGACUAGGUAUUAUUUUCAGUUUGAAAAUCAUAAAAAUUGGUUGCGUUUCUAGAUGAGCACAUUGUGUAUUUUAAUUUUACUAUUCUCUAUGUUUCAGCGCUUGUGUAUCAUAAGCUCUCUUAUUCUAUAUAGUGGAUGUAGAGUCUCUCGUAGAUUAACUUAUGUAGAUUGUGUUUGUGUUCCUUGAACCUUGAAAGUAUUUUUUUGUUUUGUGCUCUAAAACUUUGGUGAUUGUUUUAAACAUGUGAAUGACAUCCUAGGAUUUUGCAUCAUCCACUGAGUAAAGGUUGAUUUUAAUUUGGCUUUUGAAACAUUAUAUUGUGUGUUGAAAAUACUUAAUAUCUCUGUUUUGGCGUUUGUAUGUAUAAAUAACUUUUUCAUUUAAUGAAAUAGAUGCAUCUUGGGAUCUACUGUAGUUACUUAUUUUUUAAUGUCUGUGAUAGUACUGCACAUUAUGGUAAUAAUAUUAUUGAAUCUCGAAUGUCUUUGUUUUGCAUUAUGCUCUAAACCCUUGGUGAUUGCUCUGGAAUUCCGCAUUUACUAUAUCUAUACACUAACUGAAUUAUGGUAAUAGUAUUACUCUCGAAUGUCUUUGUUUUGCGUUAUGCUCUAAACCCUUGGUGAUUGUUGUAAGCAUGUGAAACCACAUUAUGGAAUUCUGCAUUAUACUCUAGUGAAUACUGUGUUGGAUUCUAUAAUUUAUACCCCUUGGCUUGAGUAUUUACUAUAUCUAUACACUAACUGAAAAUGUCAUAAAUUCUCUUGUUUUACGAAAUUAAUGAACAUAGUUGAGACU